rnacentral:rRNA from 1 species
CACUGGCUCAGGAUGAACGCUGGCGGCGUGCUUAACACAUGCAAGUCGAACGAAGCAGCUUCUGCUUGCAAGAAAGCUGACUUAGUGGCGGACGGGUGAGUAACGCGUGGGUAACCUGCCUCAUACAGGGGGAUAACAGUUGGAAACGACUGCUAAGACCGCAUAACCCGCUAGUGUCGCAUGACACGGACGGAAAAUAUUUAUAGGUAUGAGAUGGGCCCGCGUCUGAUUAGCUAGUUGGUAAGGUAACGGCUUACCAAGGCGACGAUCAGUAGCCGACUUGAGAGAGUGAUCGGCCACAUUGGGACUGAGACACGGCCCAAACUCCUACGGGAGGCAGCAGUGGGGAAUAUUGGACAAUGGGGGAAACCCUGAUCCAAGCGACGCCGCGUGAGUGAAGAAGUAUUUCGGUAUGUAAAGCUCUAUCAGCAGGGAAGAUAAUGACAGUACCUGACUAAGAAGCCCCGGCUAACUACGUGCCAGCCGCAGC